CCUGUGUUCCUCUAUGCACUUAUAGCCUGUCAUGUUUCUGUUACUGAUGUUACACUGGGGGAACAGGAAUGAUGUUCUCUAUGUGUGAUCUAUACAUGACUCCAUUAACCCAGUUUAUACAUGGCUGGUCUUACAUCACCAAUGACUCCUGUGCCCUGUUUUAUUCUAAAUGUACUUUGUGACAGAGCAUUUUAGGAGUCCAAUUUUCAUGUUCACUACAGUGGCAAGCUUGUGGCGAUACAUAAUUGGUAGCAACCCGACUCUGUUUAUCCAGCAUGUUUAGAGGUCAACGCCCACGUUGUCUGUCUGAUGUUGAUGACAAGGCUGCAGGUUCCCGUUACUGCGGCCUGCGGGUGUCCUGAGUCAGUGCCUGUUAAUAAUUAACCCGUGUUUGUUGGUCUGGGCUCUGCCCACAAACUUUAGUUACCUCGCUCUGCCUCUCAGCACCCUUUAUGAAAAGAUAUCCUAUACAGUAACUUAAAGCUACACUCAGCAAUAUGACAUCAUUAUGCCGGUCAGCUUUCCCCUUACAGAAACAGCAGCAAUGCACAUUAGGGAGAGACAAUAGUGGAAGUCUUGGUAAAUCUGAAUUCUGUUGUUGUUUAUGUAUGUAUGUUAAGCAGGAAGUUGCCCCAAUAUGUGCGAUGAUAUCCUAUUGCUGAGUCUCCCUUUGAAGGGUCAGAUUUGAAAUACCUCCUGCAUCACAGUCUUUACCAGAAAGACAGAGGGGGCAUCUAACGAUUGCUGCAAGUGGGCAAAGUGUAGCUAAUUGUCUAUGCGUGACUAAAUGGGUUUAAACCUCGGUCAUCUGCGUGCCACAACAUUAUUAACCAGCUGAGGUAAAGCCUGUCUUCAGUCGCCUGGGAAGUGUACUCAUCACAUGGACAUCGAGUCGCCUCUAUGACACAUGAACUCUAAGAAGAGAAGUAAGAUGGUGAUUCAGGUGUUCCCGGGGCUGCAGAAUGGAGAUAACGUUUCCUCAGCUUGUAAAGACCAUCUAUAAUUCAGCCUUUGAGGCAGUGUUUUUCCUGAAGAGGCUGGAUGGUGCCGGGAGUGAAUCAGUGACAGAACAGCAAACAGUAAAGGGAAGAGAUGGAAGAAGAGAGGAAAGAGAGAGAGAGAGAGAUCUGUGUGCACGGAGUAGAGUUGUCAACUUAUUCUGGGAUACCUUUUGACUGAAGUGGUCUAACAAAGUUUUGCAGGAAGGACCCGUAGAGGAUAUGCUUGGACUAACAGAGGAUCAAACCAGACCGAAUCUCUUCUCCUGCUUGUUAUUAUUGUGCUGAUUGGUGGUUGCAUUUCUAGCUGCCAGUGAAUCACAGGGCUGCCCACACAGACACAACUGACUGCUCUGGGAGAGAAAGCAUUCUCUGAGGAUUGACAACCCUAGCUGGGAGUGACAGAAGAGCAAAGUGUAAAAGAGGAAUAGAGGAGGGGGUAGGAAAAUAGAGAGAGAGAUCGACAAAUCAUGGAGGUUAAGAGGCUUCCGAUAAUUGCUGGCAGAGAGAAAGGUUUAUUGAAGACAUCUGUUAUGCAACAUGUUUAAAUGAAAACUUGAAUUUAGUUGACAGGGACUGUACUCAACACUGUCAUAUUUCUGUUUUAACAUCAAUGGAAAAGUGAAAUGUAGAAGCUCUAGAAACUGGAGUAGCAGGAAUAUGGGAAAAAAUAUAUAUUUUUGUUUUACAUGACUGGAAAAUAAACAUGAUCAUUAUCAUCACCAUCAUUACUUGUUGCUAGGGCCAGGCCCCGGGCGCUAUGCUCUCCCUCCAACCAUUGGCUACGUCAACCAUGACCGCACCAAGCACAGUAGCCCCGCCUACACCUUCCACAGACGUAUAAGCAGCAACAUGGUCUCCGUGGAUUGCAGUCCAGGACCCCAGUACCACAUCGAUGCUAAGAUGACCCGGUUCGGCCGCACUGCAGGUCCCUACAGCCCAGAGAAAGCUCAUCUCAGACCUUCCUCCUACACUAUUCGCUCUCUGUCACGCUACUGUAUAAUGGAUUCCCGGUACAAAUGAAAGAGAGAGACAGAGGGGGUAAAGAGUGACGCUAUAUGAUUCAUAUCAUUCUUAAAAAUAAAAAAAAUUG